rnacentral:lncRNA from 1 species
CUUGCGAAGUCAUGCUGACACAGGAGGGAUGCGCAUGACACUGUGCCACUGUCCUUGGAGCAGUCCUUCUGUGAUGUCAUUGCCUUGCUCAGGGCCCCUCUGCAGCUUCUCAUUGCUGUAAAGACUUUAAUCCCCAACAUGUCACGCAGGGAUCUUUUUAGGUCUGACCUCUGACUUGCUCUCUGGUUCAGCCGACAUCACCCAAAGAGCCAGGUGUGUGCAGGGCGCUGCCAGCAGUUGAUUCAUUAAAUAUUUGUGAAGUGCCCGUUGUGUCCCAGGCACAGGGCUUGGCACAGCCUGCUGUUGUCAGAGCAGGACUUGGGGACCAGGGGAUGGAGUGGAACAGCCCUGGGUAGGGCUGCAGAGACAGGUUCUGGAGGCCUCCUGUGCCAGUCUAAGGAACUCAAACUUCAUUUCAUUGGUGAGAGGGAGUCCCUGAAAGAGUUUCAACUAACUUUAUGUGUGGAAUGAAUGGUAUCAGAAGGACUUAGUUUUUACGGAGAUGAAAGAUGCCACCAUUUAACAUAUAGCCUUCAAGUUAAAAAAGAAAUGGCAUCUCAACAUAAAGAAAAAAAAUCAUUUCCCUCCUAUGACCUUCUUUUUGGUAUCCUUGAACAAAUGUUUAUUCAGAAUUUUCCAAGGGCCUGGGCAGGGAUAGGUGCCCGUGCUACAGUACAGAACAAGACAUUUGGGUUCCUUUCCUAUGGAGCAUGUCAUUGGAUGAAACAGAUGAAUGGAAGAGCGACGUGUUAUGGAUAA